AGACCAGGAACAAUGCAGCGAUCGUUUGGCAAUCGGAAUCAGUCGGAGGGUAGAGCGCGAGCUGUUCGGAGCUUGAGACUGAUUUUCGGAAAGUUCAACCCUGUCGCAUGACGUUGACGGCUAUCGUUGCUCUCAACGAUACAAUAUGACCCGAAAUUGCCACGGGGUACGUGAAGGUCCUGGAAAAUGGCAUCUGUUACCGAUCGAAUGGUGAACUUAUCCUUUUCAUACGUUAAUGCGUCAUGGUGUACACUGCAAUUUCUGUGCCGAAGUGUGGAGGGGUAUGCGGUGCACGAGGCUUGCAGGCUUUUGAAAUCCUUAAUGUUCUGCGAUGGCUCUGUGCGAGUUCAAUUUCAUCUAAUUUACCGGUUACGUCAUAAUUUCGGAUCAAGUUGAGCUGCGGUUCGUUCUACGCCCUCCGCGUCUACAGCAGCAGCCGCCCCUGAUCGUGGGAAUAUGAAGGAAUCUAGCCAAUUCAGCUCAUUGUCAGUGAACUAGCGGCUAUCGCUACAACCGAAUAAUUUUGUCCGAUUCUUGUUGAGUUUACAGGUGAUUCAGGGUUAAUAUCCGUAUUUCGGUUUUGCCACGCGACGCACGGUCGUUGCUGGAUAUACAAAUUUUGGUCAGAAGCUGUGGGUGGCUAAAAGGAGAUG
rnacentral:misc_RNA from 1 species